rnacentral:rRNA from 1 species
AAGCGGGAAGAGCUCAAAUUUAUAAUCUGGCACCUUCGGUGUCCGAGUUGUAAUCUCUAGAAGUGUUUUCCGCGUUGGACCGCAACAAGUCUGUUGGAAUACAGCGGCAUAGUGGUGAGACCCCCGUAUAUGGUGCGGACGCCCAACGCUUUGUGAUACACUUUCGAAGAGUCGAGUUGUUUGGGAAUGCAGCUCAAAUUGGGUGGUAAAUUCCAUCUAAAGCUAAAUAUUGGCGAGAGACCGAUAGCGAACAAGUACCGUGAGGGAAAGAUGAAAAGCACUUUGGAAAGAGAGUUAACAGUACGUGAAAUUGUUGGAAGGGAAACGCUUGAAGUCAGACUUGCUUGCCGAGCAAUCGGUUUGCAGGCCAGCAUCAGUUUUCCGGGGUGGAUAAUGGUAGAGAGAAGGUAGCAGUUUCGGCUGUGUUAUAGCUCUCUGCUGGAUACACCUUGGGGGACUGAGGAACGCAGUGUGCCUUACGGCGGAUUUCUCGAGAUCUUCACACUUAGGAUGCUGGUGGAAUGGCUUUAAACGACCCGUCUUGAACCACC